UCGUAGGAAUCUAAACAAAAUCGCGCGAACACGACGAUUUUGUGGGUACUGUGUAACACCAAGGGACGAAGAGAACGUCGAGAAUGGCGCUCGACGGUAACGAUCUUCGCGAACUUGUUCCAGCAAACUUUCGUACUCGAGCGAUUUCGGAAAUUGAACGAGGAGCUUCUCUAUAGAGGCCGAUCGGAAUUCGAACAAGCUCUUAAUCAGUAAAAACUCUGAUUACGUUAAACGUUGUAAAAACUACUAAAUCGCAUGAUUUAUAUUCCAAACCGAGCGACUUUUUACGGUGGCUUCGACACAGCAAGCACGAAGAAACAAGAGGCCGUGCGAAUCCUGGACGCAGCUGGAGGCCAAAGUGGAAGCUGGAAUCGGCCAUAUUUGGCCGGAGAGAGCACGAUCGAGGGAAGGUAGGGCUCUCGUCGAUCCGAGCAUCGCGAUUCAACGAGCGUGGAUGGAAGGGGGAAGCUCGAGCAGGGAUGAUGGGGGCUAGAACGUCGACUACGUUGGGGCGGGGUGCUUCGAAACCACCCCUGGUGCCUGGAAUAAUCCCUCGUAUAAAUUGGAUUGUCGGUAG
rnacentral:misc_RNA from 1 species